rnacentral:rRNA from 1 species
GACAGAGGGUGCAAACGUUGUUCGGAAUUACUGGGCGUAAAGCGUGUGUAGGCGGCUAGGUAAGUCGGAUGUGAAAGCCCCGGGCUCAACUCGGGAAGUGCACUCGAUACUGCUUAGCUCGAGUACCGGAGAGGUUGGUGGAAUUCUCGGUGUAGAGGUGAAAUUCGUAGAUAUCGAGAGGAACACCGGUGGCGAAGGCGGCCAACGGGACGAGUACUGACGCUGAGACACGAAAGCGUGGGGAGCAAACAGG